GACAGAGGGUGCAAACGUUGUUCGGAUUUACUGGGCGUAAAGGGCGCGUAGGCGGCCUCUGCAAGUCGACUGUGAAAUCUCCGGGCUUAACCCGGAAAGGUCAGCCGAUACUGCAGGGCUAGAGUGCAGAAGGGGCAACUGGAAUUCUCGGUGUAGCGGUGAAAUGCGUAGAUAUCGAGAGGAACACCUGCGGCGAAGGCGGGUUGCUGGGCUGACACUGACGCUGAAGUGCGAAAGCUAGGGGAGCGAACGGG
rnacentral:rRNA from 1 species